rnacentral:rRNA from 1 species
UGGGGAAUUUUGGACAAUGGGGGCAACCCUGAUCCAGCCAUGCCGCGUGCAGGAAGAAGGCGUUAUGCGUUGUAAACUGCUUUUGCCAGGGGAUAAAAAGACCGUGCGCGGUUAAUUGAAGGUACCUGGUGAAUAAGCCACGGCUAACUACGUGCCAGCAGCCGCGGUAAUACGUAGGUGGCAAGCGUUGUCCGGAUUUAUUGGGUUUAAAGGGUGCGUAGGUGGCCCUGUAAGUCAGUGGUGAAAUAUCUCAGCUUAACUGAGAGGGUGCCAUUGAUACUGCAGGGCUUGAGUACAGAUGAGGUAGGCGGAAUUGACGGUGUAGCGGUGAAAUGCAUAGAUAUCGUCAAGAACACCGAUAGCGAAGGCAGCUUACCAAGCUGUAACUGACACUGAGGCACGAAAGUGUGGGGAUCAAACAGGAUUAGAUACCCAAGUAGUCCCUGAGCGGGCUGGCAAGGCGCAU